rnacentral:lncRNA from 1 species
AAAAAUGUUGUCGAAUAUGUACAGAUGUCAUUUUCAUUUGAAAUAUCCCGACUCUUACUCAAUAUCACUUGCUUCAACUAACAUUUAAACAUUUUUGUCUACCUUUAAUACUCAGAAAUAUCACCAAUACACUAUCUUUAAAACCAUAUCCUCCACCUUAUAUGAUUACCAACCUACUUUUAUAUCCAACCACAUACUAGAAGAUGAUCCAAACAAAUAUUUCUACAAGUAAAAUAUUUUCCUACUUACCAAAUGCAGUCAACUUAGUUAUAAAAAAAAUGCAGUCAACUUUUCUCCAAGUGAGGUUUGAAUAAACUGGCCAUAUUGCUUUGCCCAACUAUUGUCUGACAAGAGAGGGAGGACAAAGGUAACUUUCAAGGCAAAUUAUAUUUUUGCGAUUACUGUCUAAUCUGUGGAGCACAUCAAAGUGUUUGUGGACAUUAGGUUUUGAUUCUGUAACAGUUCUAGCCUUCCUGCUACCUUGAUUAUUUAGUUGUCUACUGAUUCUCACUCUCAGGGGAGAUUAUAUGUAUGUGAUUACUGUCUCAUAUGUGGAGUGUCAGUAACCAGGUCUUACCUUCUAGCCCUGAUCUCCACUUGAAAUCUGAUUCUAAUUUCUUUCCCACUUAUAAGCAUACACAUCUAAUUACUGGUGAAAGUGGAGGAUAUUGAUGCUUAUGCCCCAAAAGGUUUGCUGAUAGGGACAACAGGCUCUCAAGUAAGUGGCAUUGCUGUUUCUGGUGGCUUUGCAAGCUUCGGUCACUAAUUAAAUAGCCUAAGUAUGCUUCUUGUGUCAGGCUGAACCACGUGCUGCAUUAAAUCUUGCAUCCUAUGGCAGUAGUCAUUCGCUCAAGUUGAACAAAGAUGAUAUAAUUUUGUAUUCAGCCAAGGUAUCCACCUAUGUGCUGUUAAAGAUUCCGGUUGAUAAAACAUUAACACUGUCUGGUUGUCCUUCCAAAACCAAACAAAAAUUGGAAAGUCAAAUAAACAUAAAGAAAAGAUGCAAAUCAGGUCCCGUUUGUGAUAAGGCACCACGAGGGGAAAUUGACAGGAAAAGAUCUUCAUUUGUAUACUUGCACUGUUUCCUUUGCUUGAAUGACAAACAAGUCAGGGGAACAAUAUUUAGACGGGUCAACUGUUUUUUUUUACUCUUUAUAAAUUUAUUUUUAGUUUUAUGACCCUAACUCGUUUUUUUACAUUUUACUACAUAGGUUUAUUUGAUAGUCUGGUCCUAGCCUCGUCUCUACUUCGUCGAGAUUAGGCUAGACACUUACCAGCACAUGGGGUCGGUUGUGCUGAUACUACACUCUGCACUAUGUGCAGAUUUCGGAGCAGCUUUUGGACCGUAGUGUGGAGGCUACCUUCAGUCCACGCGGAAAUCCAAAGUAGACUUGCAGGCGUCCGCAGUCCCUGGCGUCUCCCUCUAUCCCUAUUUUCCUAUUUCAUUUCCCUUAUAUUCCGAAACAGUGUACUGUUUUUUCUUCAGAGUUUGUAUGUAGAAAUCUAAAAAUAUCAUUUUCUUAAAUUAUAAAUUGUAAAGGAGCAUAUGCACAAAUAGCACCUGAAUUUAUACUGGGAAUUAAAUUCAUUCAUCC